GUGAAUCAUCGAAUCUUUGAACGCAAAUUGCACUCUCUUGUAUGCCGGAGAGUAUGCCUGGUUGAGGGUCAGUUUAAAUAAAAAUCGGUGUGGUCGCUGCCUGUCGUGGUGACGCGCCGGAUUUUGGUCGUCUUGCCUUCGUUUUAGUGACCUUAAAUUUUUCAUUAUGGUUUCGAACGUAUUUAAAUGAUUUUACGUACUUUUGCGAUAUCGUAUAGUAGGUUCUGUCAUCUUCAUGAUUCUC
rnacentral:misc_RNA from 1 species